rnacentral:rRNA from 1 species
AGACCCGAAACCCGGUGAUCUAGCCAUGGGCAGGUUGAAGGUUGGGUAACACUAACUGGAGGACCGAACCGACUAAUGUUGAAAAAUUAGCGGAUGACCUGUGGCUGGGGGUGAAAGGCCAAUCAAACCGGGAGAUAGCUGGUUCUCCCCGAAAGCUAUUUAGGUAGCGCCUCGUGAAUUCAUCUCCGGGGGUAGAGCACUGUUUCGGCUAGGGGGCCAUCCCGGCUUACCAACCCGAUGCAAACUGCGAAUACCGGAGAAUGUUAUCACGGGAGACACACGGCGGGUGCUAACGUCCGUCGUGAAGAGGGAAACAACCCAGACCGCCAGCUAAGGUCCCAAAGUCAUGGUUAAGUGGGAAACGAUGUGGGAAGGCCCAGACAGCCAGGAUGUUGGCUUAGAAGCAGCCAUCAUUUAAAGAAAGCGUAAUAGCUCACUGGUCGAGUCGGCCUGCGCGGAAGAUGUAACGGGGCUAAACCAUGCACCGAAGCUGCGGCAGCGACACUCAGGUGUUGUUGGGUAGGGGAGCGUUCUGUAAGCCUGUGAAGGUGGCCUGUGAGGGUUGCUGGAGGUAUCAGAAGUGCGAAUGCUGACAUAAGUAACGAUAAAGCGGGUGAAAAGCCCGCUCGCCGGAAGACCAAGGGUUCCUGUCCAACGUUAAUCGGGGCAGGGUGAGUCGACCCCUAAGGCGAGGCCGAAAGGCGUAGUCGAUGGGAAACGGGUUAAUAUUCCCGUACUUGGUGUUACUGCGAAGGGGGGACGGAGAAGGCUAUGUUGGCCGGGCGACGGUUGUCCCGGUUUAAGCGUGUAGGUGUGUGUUCCAGGUAAAUCCGGUUCACUUUAACACUGAGGCGUGAUGACGAGGCACUACGGUGCUGAAGCAACAAAUGCCCUGCUUCCAGGAAAAGCCUCUAAGCAUCAGGUAACAUCAAAUCGUACCCCAAACCGACACAGGUGGUCAGGUAGAGAAUACCAAGGCGCUUGAGAGAACUCGGGUGAAGGAACUAGGCAAAAUGGUGCCGUAACUUCGGGAGAAGGCACGCUGACACGUAGGUGAAGUGAUUUACUCAUGGA